GUAUGAUUGCUAAUGAGACAACUGUCCAUAAGAGACCAAAAUGACACUGAAAUUAACAACUAUAGGUCACCGUACGGCCUUCAAAAAUGAGCAAAGCCCAUACCGCAUAGUUAGCUAUGAAAGGCCCCGAAAUGACUAUGUAAAACAAUUCAAACGAGAAAACUAACGGCCUUAUUUAUGUACAAAAAAUGAACGAAAAACAAAUGUGUAACACAUAAACAAACGACAACCACUGAAUUGCAGGCUCCUGCCUUGGAACAGGCACAUACAUACAUAGUAUGGUGGGGUUAAACAAGUUCGCGGGAUCCCAAACCUCCCCCAAC
rnacentral:lncRNA from 1 species